GGUUUCCAAAUUGUUAGCAGUUGCUUUCUUGACUCCGAACAUGAUAGUACGGAGGAGUUUUCCUUGAGAAGUGUUGAAUCCAGUUCGAAUUACAUAACAGAUGCA
rnacentral:sRNA from 1 species